rnacentral:rRNA from 1 species
UACGUAGGGGGCAAGCGUUACUCGGAUUCACUGGGCGUAAAGCGCGUGUAGGCGGCUGGUCAAGCGUGGUGUGAAAUCUCCGGGCUCAACCCGGAAACUGCACCGCGAACUGGCCUGGCUGGAGUGCAGGAGAGGGAAGGGGAAUUCCCGGUGUAGCGGUGAAAUGCGUAGAUAUCGGGGAGGAACACCAGUGGCGAAGGCGGCCAUCUGGAUCAACACUGACGCUGAGGCACGAAAGCGUGGGGAGCAAACAGG